AUGUUGGCCCCAUCCCCUACGUACAGGUCUUCGAGGUGUUCCACUGGAUCAACGACACGGGCGCAAGGUCAGCAGACCGGCUGCGAGGCAGGUGACAGAGAGUGUGAUAGAGAGGUACUGGCAGCAGCCUCCACCGACGGGCAGCUCGAUGUUAUUCCUGGUAUUGUUGUGAGGAGUUUGAAGGAGUUUGUGACUUUUCCUAGAACUGGCAUUUUAACUAUUGAAGUUACUCUGGAAUUUGGUGAUGAUGAUAUAUAUGUGAGCACUCCUUGCUCCUACUUCAUUGGUUUGGGUAAUAGAAUGGUGUUCAAACAGGAAGGUUUCAGUGAUUUUCUCCAGGCAUCGUCUCUUGAAGUAAACAGCCAGGUGCUGAUAACUUUCAAACAGCGUGUUGGGAGGCUUGUUGUUAUCUUCAAUCUUCUGCCGCAGUGA
rnacentral:rRNA from 1 species